AGCAGCCGCGGUAAUUCCAGCUCCAAUAGCGUAUAUUAAAGUUGUUGCAGUUAAAAAGCUCGUAGUUGAAUUUCGGGAUCAAUAUGUUGGUCGUGCCUCGGUACGUACUGGCAUUAUUGGUUUCUACCUUCUGAAGAACCGCGAUGUCAUUAAUUUGGUGUCGUGGGGAAUCAGGACUGUUACUUUGAAAAAUUAGAGUGUUUAAAGCAGGCUCACGCUUGAAUACAUUAGCAUGGAAUAAUGAAAUAGGACGUUUGAUUCUAUUUUGUUGGUUUCUAGGAUCGACGUAAUGAUUAAUAGGGAUAGUUGGGGGCAUUAGUAUUCAAUUGUCAGAGGUGAAAUUCUUGGAUUUAUUGAAGACUAACUACUGCGAAAGCAUUUGCCAAGGAUGUUUUCAUUAAUCAAGAACGAAAGUUAGGGGAUCGAAGACGAUCAGAUACCGUCGUAGUCUUAACCAUAAACUAUGCCGACUAGGGAUCGGAUGAUGUUAUUUUAAUGACUCAUUCGGCUACCG
rnacentral:sRNA from 1 species